rnacentral:lncRNA from 1 species
CCCCGGAAGCUAGUAUAGUGUCAAGGAGGCUUAGUCACUUUAAAUAUCAUCGAGUAUCAUCCCAGCCCCUAGCCUAAAUUACAAGCCAAAGAGAAGACCUAUAGUGAUCCUAGCUGACCUGUCUAAAAAUCUUGGUAAUGAAAAUAAGCGAAAGCCUAUGAUAUUUGGCAUACAUUGAUUGAACCUUCAUUCUGAGAGUGAGUGUCUUUUGAUUAUCCCCGUG